rnacentral:rRNA from 1 species
UACGGGGGGGGCAAGCGUUGUCCGGAAUCACUGGGCGUAAAGGGCGCGUAGGCGGUUUGACAAGUCUGAUGUGAAAUCUCUGGGCUCAACCCAGAGUCUGCAUUAGAAACUGUCGGGCUUGAGUAUGGGAGAGGUGAGUGGAAUUUCCGGUGUAGCGGUGAAGUGCGUAGAUAUCUGGAGGAAUACCGGUGGCGAAGGCGGCAUCCUGGACCGAGAUUGACGCUGAGGAGCGAAAGCUAGGGGAGCAAACGGG